UACGUAGGAUGCGAGCGUUAUCCGGAUUUAUUGGGUUUAAAGGGAGCGUAGGCGGACGCUUAAGUCUGCGGUAAAAUUGCGGGGCUCAACCUCGUCGAGCCGUUGAAACUGGGUGCCUUGAGUGGGCGAGAAGUACGCGGAAUGCGUGGUGUAGCGGUGAAAUGCAUAGAUAUCACGCAGAACUCCGAUUGCGAAGGCAGCGUACCGGCGCCCUACUGACGCUGAAGCACGAAGGCGUGGGUAUCGAACAGG
rnacentral:rRNA from 1 species